CAAGCCCUCCUGGGUAAGGCCUAGUCAGCCGCCCGGUAGUAUAUCUUACUAUAGUAAGGAGGUAUGCGAGUCAAGCGAGGUGAAGGGUGUAUGCCCUGAAUCUGCCCCUUAGCCCCGAGAAGGAAGAAUUUUGGGACCGUGCCGAUCCUCUGGAAUAGGGCGCAGGCGAAAUGGGAGGCGCGUUAAAGACGAGUGUUUUCCAGCACCCCGGGGUCUCAGACAG
rfam:Desulfobacterales bacterium S3730MH5 k99_2457465, whole genome shotgun sequence.